UCCUACGGGAGGCAGCAGUGAGGAAUAUUGGUCAAUGGGCGAGAGCCUGAACCAGCCAAGUAGCGUGCAGGAAGACGGCCCUAUGGGUUGUAAACUGCUUUUAUAUGGGGAUAAAGUGAGUUACGUGUAGCUUAUUGCAGGUACCAUAUGAAUAAGGACCGGCUAAUUCCGUGC
rnacentral:rRNA from 1 species